rnacentral:rRNA from 1 species
AAAUCUCGUGCCAGCCACCGCGGUUAGACGAGAGGCCCCAGUUGAUAAUACAACGGCGUAAAGGGUGGUUAAGGGUAGACAAAAAUUAAAGCCAAAUGGCCCCUUGGCCGUCAUACGCUUCUAGGCGUCCGAAGCCCUAACACGAAAGUAGCUUUAAACAAACCCACCUGACCCCACGAAAGCUGAGAAACAAACUGGGAUUAGAUACCCCACUAUGCUCAGCCGUAAACCCAGACAUUCAACUACAAUUUAAUGUCCGCCAGGGUACUACGAGCAUCAGCUUAAAACCCAAAAGACCUGACGGUGUCUCAAACCCCCCUAGAGGAGCCUGUUCUAGAACCGAUAAUCCCCGUUAAACCUCACCACCCCUAGCCACCCCAGCCUAUAUACCGCCGUCGUCAGCUUACCCUGUGAAGGAAAUAAAAGUAAGCAAAAUGGAUAUAACCCAGAACGUCAGGUCGAGGUGUAGCGCAUGAAGUGGAAAGAAAUGGGCUACAUUUUCUAUCACAGAAUAUUACGAAUACGCACCAUGAAAUAAUGCUUGAAGGAGGAUUUAGUAGUAAAAAGGAAAUAGAGAGUCCUUUUGAACUCGGCCCUGAGANGCGUACACACCGCCCGUC